CACCCACACCCCCCCCCCAACCCCCCCCUCCCCGAGGCUCCUUGUCCCCAGGGUCGUCCACCCCAAAAAAACCCUUUGUGUCACUGCGGUGAUGAGCUGCCCUGUUCUCAUCACCGCCCCCCCCGCCAGCUGUUUAUAGAAGAAUCCAGAUGUUGGGAACAUCUGGCCAGGAAGUGCCCCCCCCCAGCUCCGUUCCCAGAGGGAGGGCCCUGCAGGGAUCCUGACCCCCGCCCCUAAAAAUGGGGUGCUACCCCCCCCAUGCUUGGACCCGCCAAAAUCACUUUUAUUGUGUGGGAAUGGGCCAAAAUUGGAGGGGGGAGCAGUACUGGGGGGGGGGACUGGGAAUAUUGGGGGGGCUGGGGGUACGGGGAGGGGUUGGGAGGCACAACCCGUACCCCAAAAGAUGUUAGGGUUCCACAGCCGUGGGCGGGGUGGGGCACCCAUGGAGGAGGGACCGUGAGGCCCCAGCAUCCUCCCCUGGGACGGGGUGGGCAUGUUGGGGUGCUGACCCCCCCGCCCCCCCCAGCCUGGGCACCCCAAAAAUGGCCAGGGCGCCCCAAGCUGAAUGCAAUCUGGGGGGGGGGGCUCCCUGGGGAUGGGACUGGGGGUCCCUGGCAGGGGGGGGACGACCAGCCCUGGCACCCCAAACGGCACCUGCUGCAGUGGGGGGGGGGUGGGACACCCCACAACCCCCCCUGCCUGUACCCUACUGUGGGGGGGACCCCCAAAACCCCACCUGCACCCCAAACCCCAUAGACACCCCCAGAUCCUAUAGGUGUUCCCCCAAACCUCCCAGAAGCACCCCCAACCACCCCAGAUGCCUCCCAAACCCCACACUUGCACCCCCAAACCUUACACUCACCCUCCAAACCCCCACCUGCACCCUGAAACCCCCCAGAUGCACCCCAAACCACCCACCUGCACCCCCAAACCCCCCAGACGCACCCCAAACCCCAGGACACCAAUGCUCAACCGUCAGCUCCUCAACAGGAUUUGGAAGAUACCCCCAAAAAAGGGAAGAAAAGGGAGAAAAAAACCCAACCCCAAGCCCCAAUUUUGGUGCAAACCCCAGCCUGCGGAACUUUUGGGGGCUGUAAAUAUUUUGUCACCUUCUCGGGGAUUCGAAGUGCCCCAGUUGUCUUGAAAACCUCCAAGAAACGGCAUAAAAAUAUUUACUUCC